AAAAGUGUUCUUGUAGCUGUACAAAAUAGACAAAAAAUGUCCUCCAAUCUAACAAGCAUGUAAUGAGAUGUGUGUAGAGUUGGACUUGUUUGUGAAAGUGAGUUGUUGAUUUGUGAGGUCUUGUGUACUAACUCAUCUUUUGUGCUACUCAGCGACUGAUGCCGAGAGGUUCUUUCCAGGCUGGCUUUACCAGGCAGCUGCUACAGGCUUUUGGUGUCAUUUUGUACCGAAGAGGAAAAUGACGGCGCCUUUUUAUACAAUCACUUGUGACACAGGAAUGUUUAGUGAAUGU